CCUACGGGUGGCAGCAGUGGGGAAUUUUGGACAAUGGGCGCAAGCCUGAUCCAGCCAUGCCGCGUGCGGGAAGAAGGCCUUCGGGUUGUAAACCGCUUUUGUCGGGGAAGAAAUGCUCUGGGUUAAUACCCUGGGGAGAUGACGGUACCCGAAGAAUAAGCACCGGCUAACUACGUGCCAGCAGCCGCGGUAAUACGUAGGGUGCAAGCGUUAAUCGGAAUUACUGGGCGUAAAGCGUGCGCAGGCGGUCAUACAAGACAGAUGUGAAAUCCCCGGGCUCAACCUGGGAACUGCAUUUGUGACUGUAUGGCUGGAGUACGGUAGAGGGGGAUGGAAUUCCGCGUGUAGCAGUGAAAUGCGUAGAUAUGCGGAGGAACACCGAUGGCGAAGGCAGUCCCCUGGACCUGUACUGACGCUCAUGCACGAAAGCGUGGGGAGCAAACAGGAUUAGAUACCCCUGUAGUC
rnacentral:rRNA from 1 species